GUGACUCCCUGCAGGCCUGGUCCAGUUACCAGAUAAAACACAGGAGAGCCAGCUACAUUUCAAUUUCAGGAUACAUUCCGUACCAUUGACCAUAAGAAGGUAUGAAAACACAAUAAAAAGGAUCUCUAUGCACUCGCAUGCCCUGUAGAUGUGAAUGUUGGAGGCGUGCUCUGUUGGAGACAGA